ensembl:rRNA 5S_rRNA 5S ribosomal RNA
CUUCAGGGCCAUACCAGCCCAAGAACGCCCAGGUCUCGUCUGAUCUCGGAAGCUAAGAAGGCUUGGGCCUGGUUAGUACUUGGAUGGGAGACCUCCUGGGAAUACCAGGUGCUGUAAGCU